GGCCGACUCAGCUUCAGUCUGCAGGAAGCAGAGCGUGUGAUGGAUCCGUCCUCUGGUUUAUUCGCCACAUCAUCCAACGCAGAUGCCGUCUAAUGGUCCACGCCCACUUUCAGCCUUAGUCAGCACUGAAGGCGCCAUUACAGGCCUCCGACCUGCACCCAGACGCUAAUGUGUCCAUUUAAGGUCCACCCCAGAGACGGGAAAUGGAGACGAGGCGUAAUGGGCCUGCAGAUGGAAACCCUGCCGCUCAGCCCCGCCCACGGCCCCCCAGGGACCCCGCCCCCAGAAGCACCACACUCAUCGCACUCAUGCUCUGUUGUUAGAAGGUCACUGAUAAAAACUGGUUAAAAACUAGUUAAACUUGCAGAACAAAUACUUCUUUUACGGUUAAUUGUCAGUAAUUUUAUCUGGUUACAAAAAAAAAAAAAAAAAAA